AUACGUAGGGGGCGAGCGUUGUCCGGAAUGAUUGGGCGUAAAGGGCGCGUAGGCGGCCCGGUAAGUCUGGAGUGAAAGUCCUGUUUUUAAGAUGGGAAUUGCUUUGGAUACUGUCGGGCUUGAGUGCAGGAGGGGUAAGUGGAAUUCCCAGUGCAGCGGUGAAAUGCGUAGAGAUUGGGAGGAACACCAGUGGCGAAGGCGACUUACUGGACUGUAACUGACGCUGAGGCGCGAAAGUGUGGGGAGCAAACAGGAUUAGAUACCCUGGUAGUCCACACUGUAAACGAUGAAUGCUAGGUGUAGGGGGUAUCGACCCCUUCUGUGCCGCAGUCAACACAAUAAGCAUUCCGCCUGGGGAGUACGGCCGCAAGGUUGAAACUCAAAGGAAUUGACGGGG
rnacentral:rRNA from 1 species